UACGGAGGGGGCUAGCGUUGUUCGGAAUUACUGGGCGUAAAGAGCGCGUAGGCGGUUUAUAAAGUUGGAAGUGAAAGCCCGGGGCUUAACCUCGGAAUUGCUUACAAAACUCAUAAACUAGAGAACGAUAGGGGAUGGUGGAAUUCCUAGUGUAGAGGUGAAAUUCUUAGAUAUUAGGAGGAACACCGGUGGCGAAGGCGACCAUCUGGGUCGUUUCUGACGCUAAGGCGCGAAAGCGUGGGGAGCAAACAGG
rnacentral:rRNA from 1 species